AAAGACCCGAAACGUCAAUUUUUUAUAUCUUUAAAAAAUCACUAAAAAACCAAUUUCGAAACAGAAUAGACCUAAAAUCAAGAACAUUAAGAUGCAUUAACUUAAGUUAGCGGGGACAAAUAAUUUUUUUUUACUAAAUCGUUCGUUCGUAGUUUGUUUUUCAUCAAAUGUGAUUUUUUUAUAAAUUAUUAUCAAAAUUUUGGCCUUAACCCAGCUCUUAAGCAUCAUGGUCCAAUUAUGAUGUCUGCGCAUGCGCGCUUAUACAAGAUUACGCGGUUCAUUUGAAUCUCGUUCGUAGCAAUCAACAUGAAGAAUAAUUUAUUGAGAUUGAAGAUGUGUGAGAAGUAAACAUUGUUUCAUUCUUAUUAUUUAUUCUUAGUCAUAAUUUGAAGUCUGUAGAAGUUUUUAUCGAAUUUUGAAUUCUUUUAUUGAAUUUAUUGAUACUACAUAGCUAUACUUUCUAAAUAAAAGUAAAGUUUA